rnacentral:pre_miRNA from 1 species
GGGGGGAGGCCGGAUCCUGGUCUGUGUCCCCGGCGCCCUGUGCUCCCGGGCCUGCGCUGUUGGAUUUGCGCUCCUGCCCCGCAGCCCCCU